rnacentral:rRNA from 1 species
UAAAAAGUUUUUUAUGCAUUAAAUGGAUACCUAAAUAUCAAAAUUAAAAUGGACGUUUUAUAACGAAAUAUUGUAGUGAGUAGAAUUAUUUGCUGAGAAUUACAAUUUUCCAUUUAUGGUAAACCAAGCUUUGAAAUAUUUAAGCUUAUUUUAGCUUGUAGCUAAAAUAUUUUAACUUAGUAAACUGAAUCAUCUAAGUAACUAAGAAAAAAAUCAACCGAGAUUCCGUAAGUAGUGGCGAGCGAACGCGGUAAAGACUAAAAAUUUUUUACUUUUAUUUAAUAUUUAUAGCCAAAGAAGGAAGUGCCCUGUAAAAUAAAGAGUAAAAGUUUUAAUAAAAGUAGAGUGAUACAAGUCAUGUGUUGCUUGAACAUUGGGGGCCCACCCUCAAAGUCUAAAAAUUUUGAUGUUUGAUAGUGUACUAGUACUGUGAAGGAACGGUGAAAAAGAAUUUGUGAAGAUUGAAAAGACAUUGAAAUUUAAUGCUAACAAGCAGUUGUAGCUUUUUAUUAAUCGAAAGUGACAACGUACCUUUUGUAUAAUGGAUCAACAAGUUUAUUUGAGUGGCGAGCUUAAAUAAUUUAUAAUUAUGUAGGCGAAAAAAAAUUGAGUUUUAAAAUGCUAUUAAGUCUCUUAAAUAAGACCCGAAACUAAGUGAUCUAACCAUGAACAGGUUGAAUUUAAAGCGGUAACGCUUAUUGGAGGACCGAACUCGUGUAUGUGGAAAAAUACUGAGAUGAUUUGUGGUUAGGAGUGAAAGGCUAAUCAAACUUAGAGAUAGCUGGUUUUCUGCGAAAUCUAUUUAAGUAGAGCGUUUAAAAUUCUUCUAUUUGGGGUAGAGCUCUCGAUAAGCAAUGGGGACGAAAGUUUUACUGAGUUUAUUGAAACUUCAAAUACAUAUAGAAUGACUUUAAGCAGACAGACUAUGAGUGCUAAGAUUCUUAGUCAAAAGGGAAACAGCCCAGACUAAUGCUAAGGCCCCUAAAAAUAGUUAAGUGAAAAAAAUGUUAAAGAGUAUUGACAACUGGUAAGUAGACUUAGAAGCAGUCAUCUUUUAAAGAAAGCGUAAUAGCUCACUGGUUUAGCUUUUUUGUGUUGAAAAUGUAAAGGGACUUAAACUAUUUGCCGAAGCCGUAGAUUUAACUUAGGUUAAAUGGUAGCAGAACGUUCUGUAAAUUUAAGAAGGUUUGUGGUUACACAAACUGGAGAAAUCAGAAGCGAAAAUGUUGAUAUGAGUAGCGAUAAACAGUGUUUAAACACUGUCGCCUUAAGUCCAAGGUUUCCAAAACAAGGCUAAUCCGUUUUGGUAAAGUUAAUCGGUCCCUAAGAUAACAACGAAAGUUUACAUUGAUGGGUAAAAAAUAAAUAUUUUUUUAUGUUUUAAAAGUGACAAAAUAUGCAUGUUAUUUUUAUUUUAUGGUAAAAUAAAGGUUGCAUAGUAUUUUCAGGAAAAAGCUUUAAAAAUUAAAACCGUACCAUAACCGACACAGGUGGGUAGGUAGAGUAUACUAAGGGGCGCGAGAUAACUCUCUCUAAGGAACUCGGCAAAAUGACUCCGUAACUUCGGGAGAAGGAGUAACUUUUUUAGGGAAACCUUUAAAAGUUGUCACAAAAUCGGGGACAGCAACUGUUUACCAAAAACACAGGUCUCCGCUAAGUCGUAAGACGAUGUAUUGGGGCUGACGCCUGCCCAGUGCAGGAAGGUUAAAGAAGAGGUCCCUGGCUUCGACCCUAACACCCAGUAAACGGCGGCCGUAACUAUAACGGUCCUAAGGUAGCGAAAUUCCUUGUCGGGUAAGUUCCGACCUGCACGAAUGGCGUAACGACUGUGACACUGUCUCCAGCACAAGCUCGGUGAAAUUGAAUUUUCCGUGAAGAUGCGGAAUUCCUGCGGCUAGACGGAAAGACCCCGUGCACCUUUACUGCAAUUAUAUAUUGUGUUAAAAGUUUUUAUGUGUAGAAUAGGUGGGAGUCGUUUUGUUAUUUAUAAAUAGCAAAGACCUUUGCGCAAGCAAAUUGUUUAGACAUAAAGUGAAAUACCACCCUUAAAAAUUUUUAUCACUAAUUUUUUAAGACAUUGUAUAACGGGUAGUUUGACUGGGGCGGUCGCCUCCUAAAGAGUAACGGAGGCGCACAAAGGUAAGUUUGAAUUGGAUAAAUAUCAAUUUGUAAGCGUAAUAGUAUAUACUUGCUUGACUGUGAGACCUACAAGUCGAGCAGGGACGAAAGUCGGUCUUAGUGAUCUGACGGUGCUGAGUGGAAAGGCCGUCACUCAACGGAUAAAAGUUACUCUAGGGAUAACAGGCUGAUCUCCCCAAGAGUUCACAUCGACGGGGAGGUUUGGCACCUCGAUGUCGGCUCAUCGCAUCCUGGGGCGGUAGUACGUCCCAAGGGUUGGGCUGUUCGCCCAUGAAAGCGGUACGCGAGCUGGGUUCAGAACGUCGUGAGACAGUUCGGUCCAUAUCCGGUGUAGGCGUUAGAAUAUUGAGAGGACUCGUCUUUAGUACGAGAGGACCGAGAAAAGCGAAUCUCUUGUGCAUCGAUUGUUAGACCAAUAGCAUUGUCGAGUAGCUACAUUCGUAAUAAAUAAUCGCUGAAAGCAUCUAAGUGAGAAAUUAACCUUGAAACGAGUUUUUGAAUAAAUGUAAUAGAUUAUUACAUAGAUAGGCUUGAAGUGUAAGAAUUGUAAGAUUUUUAGCUGACAAGUACUAAAAAUUUUUAAUUAUUUAAACUUUUUA